CGAGUGGCGAACGGGUGAGUAAUACAUCGGAACGUGCCCUGUAGUGGGGGAUAACUAGUCGAAAGACUGGCUAAUACCGCAUACGACCUGAGGGUGAAAGUGGGGGACCGCAAGGCCUCAUGCUAUAGGAGCGGCCGAUGUCUGAUUAGCUAGUUGGUGGGGUAAAGGCCUACCAAGGCGACGAUCAGUAGCUGGUCUGAGAGGACGUUCAGCCNUGNGGGUACC
rnacentral:rRNA from 1 species